rnacentral:rRNA from 1 species
UUAACAAAUGCAAUUCGCACCGUCAGCAAUGGCAGUGGCGGACGGGUGAGUAACACGUAGGAAUCUAUCCCAGGGUGGGGGACAACAGCGGGAAACUGCUGCUAAUACCGCAUGAUACCUGAGGGUCAAAGGCGCAAGUCGCCUUGGGAGGAGCCUGCGUCUGAUUAGCUUGUUGGUGAGGUAAAGGCUCACCAAGGCGACGAUCAGUAGCUGGUCUGAGAGGAUGAUCAGCCUCACUGGGACUGAGACACGGCCCAGACUCCUACGGGAGGCAGCAGUGGGGAAUAUUGGACAAUGGGCGCAAGCCUGAUCCAGCCAUGCCGCGUGGGUGAUGAAGGCCCUAGGGUUGUAGAGCCCUUUCGGCGGGGAAGAUAAUGACGGUAUCCGCAGAAGAAGCCCCGGCUAACUUCGUGCCAGCAUCCGCGGUUAUAUUUGAAUUCCCGCGGCCGC